AGAGUUUGAUCAUGGCUCAGAUUGAACGCUGGCGGCAGGCCUAACACAUGCAAGUCGAACGGUAACAGGAAUUAGCUUGCUAAUUUGCUGACGAGUGGCGGACGGGUGAGUAAUGCUUGGGGAUCUGCCCAGUGGUGGGGGAUAACAGUUGGAAACGACUGCUAAUACCGCAUGAUACCUACGGGUCAAAGUGGGCUUUUAGCUCACGCCAUUGGAUGAACCCAAGUGAGAUUAGCUAGUUGGUGGGGUAAAGGCUCACCAAGGCGACGAUCUCUAGCUGGUCUGAGAGGAUGAUCAGCCACACUGGGACUGAGACACGGCCCAGACUCCUACGGGAGGCAGCAGUGGGGAAUAUUGGACAAUGGGGGCAACCCUGAUCCAGCCAUGCCGCGUGUGUGAAGAAGGCCUUCGGGUUGUAAAGCACUUUCAGUGGUGAGGAAAGGGUAACGGUUAAUACCCGUUAUCUGUGACGUUAACCACAGAAGAAGCACCGGCUAACUCCGUGCCAGCAGCCGCGGUAAUACGGAGGGUGCGAGCGUUAAUCGGAAUUACUGGGCGUAAAGCGCACGCAGGCGGUUAUAUAAGCUAGAUGUGAAAGCCCCGGGCUUAACCUGGGAAUAGCAUUUAGAACUGUAUGACUAGAGUCUUGGAGAGGGGAGUGGAAUUCCAGGUGUAGCGGUGAAAUGCGUAGAGAUCUGGAGGAACAUCAGUGGCGAAGGCGACUCCCUGGCCAAAGACUGACGCUCAUGUGCGAAAGUGUGGGUAGCGAACAGGAUUAGAUACCCUAGUAGUCC
rnacentral:rRNA from 1 species